rnacentral:lncRNA from 1 species
GCUCUGCUCUUAAGACGCGUGUCUGCCGACGCUCCUGGCCGAAUAAAAAACCUCUUCCUUCUUUAAUCCGGUGUCCGAGGAGUUUUGUGUGCGACUCGUCCUGCUACAUUUCUUGGUUACAAAAACCUCUUCCUUCUUUAAUCCGGUGUCCGAGGAGUUUUGUCUGCGACUCGUCCUGCUACAUUUCUUGGUUACAAAAACCUCUUCCUUCUUUAAUCCGGUGUCUGAGGAGUUUUGUUUGCGACUCGUCCUGCUACAUUUCUUGGUUCCGUGACCGGGAAGCGAGGUGAUUGAAGGACGGUCGAGGCAGCCCCUUAGGCUGCUUAGGCCUGCCCUGUGGAGCGUCCCUGCAAGGGACUCUGGCCAGCUUGAGCGACGGGCAUCCUGAGAGCGCUCCCGGGUAGGCAAUUGCCCUGGUGGAACACCUCGUCAGAGCAGUGUGUGGCAGGCCCCCGCGGAGGAUCAACGUGGUGGCUGAACACCGGGAAGGAACUGGCACUAGAAGUCUGGACGUCUGAAACUUGAAACUCAUUAAUCUUCAAAGGCUUCAAGAGUGGCACAGAUGAAUCCAAUAUUCCUAUAUGACCUACUUUACUGAACUGGAAAAACUGCAUGCUGACAGCACAAAUGAUCUGUAAGAAGAGAUGCAGGUUGUAUAUGUCAGCCUCGCAGAGAACUCUUUCCAAAUACCACUGGGAGAACCAGAGCAACAUGACAACUCCACAGUAUAGCCCAAAAUACUG